rnacentral:rRNA from 1 species
CUCCGGAGGGUGCAAGCGUUACUCGGAAUCACUGGGCGUAAAGCGCGCGCAGGCGGCUAUUUAAGUUGGAUGUGAAAGCCUACGGCUCAACCGUAGAACUGCAUCCAAAACUAUUUAGCUAGAGUGUGGGAGAGGAAGAUGGAAUUAGUUGUGUAGGGGUAAAAUCCGUAGAGAUAACUAGGAAUACCAAAAGCGAAGGCAAUCUUCUGGAACACUACUGACGCUGAGGCGCGAAAGCGUGGGGAGCAAACGGGAUUAGAAACCCUAGUAGUCC